rnacentral:rRNA from 1 species
CCUACGGGUGGCAGCAGUGGGGAAUAUUGGGCAAUGGGCGAAAGCCUGACCCAGCAAUGCCGCGUGAAGGAAGACGGCUUUCGGGUUGUAAACUUCUUUUUACAGGGAGGAGCAGAAGACUGUGCCUGUCGAAUCAGCCACGGCUAACUACGUGCCAGCAGCCGCGUGAAUACGGAGGUGGCAAGCGUUGUCCGGAUUUAGUGGGUGUACCGGGCGUGUAGCCGGGCUGACAAGUCAGAUGUGAAAUCCGGGGGCUCAACCCCAGAGCUGCAGUUGAUACGGUUGGUCUUGAGUAUCGGAGCGGCAGGCGGAAUGCCUAGUGUAGCGGUGAAAUGCGUAGAUAUUAGGAGGAACACCAGUGGCGAAGGCGGCCUGCUGGACGGCAACUGACGGAGAGGCGCGAAAGCGUGGGGAGCAAACAGGAUUAGAUACCCUUGUAGUC